rnacentral:rRNA from 1 species
AACGAACGCUGGCGGCAUGCCUAACACAUGCAAGUCGAACGAGACCUUCGGGUCUAGUGGCGCACGGGUGCGUAACGCGUGGGAACCUGCCCUUAGGUUCGGAAUAACUCCCCGAAAGGGGUGCUAAUACCGGAUAAUGUCUUCGGACCAAAGAUUUAUCGCCUUUGGAUGGGCCCGCGUUGGAUUAGCUAGUUGGUAGGGUAAAAGCCUACCAAGGCGACGAUCCAUAGCUGGUCUGAGAGGAUGAUCAGCCACACUGGGACUGAGACACGGCCCAGACUCCUACGGGAGGCAGCAGAGGGGAAUAUUGGACGAUGGGCGAAAGCCUGAUCCAGCAAUGCCGGGUGAGUGAUGAAGGGCUUAGGGUUGUAAAGCUCUUUUAGCCGGGAUGAUAAUGACAGUACCGGGAGAAUAAGCUCCGGCUAACUACGUG